CAGUCGCCACGGGAAUACGUAGGUGGCAAGCGUUGUCCGGAAUUAUUGGGCGUAAAGGGCUCGCAGGCGGUUCCUUAAGUCUGAUGUGAAAGCCCCCGGCUCAACCGGGGAGGGUCAUUGGAAACUGGGAAACUUGAGUGCAGAAGAGGAGAGUGGAAUUCCACGUGUAGCGGUGAAAUGCGUAGAGAUGUGGAGGAACACCAGUGGCGAAGGCGACUCUCUGGUCUGUAACUGACGCUGAGGAGCGAAAGCGUGGGGAGCGAACAGGAUUAGAUACCCCUGUAGUCCCUGUCUCUUAUAC
rnacentral:rRNA from 1 species